rnacentral:rRNA from 1 species
GAUGAACGCUGGCGGCGUGCCUAAUACAUGCAAGUCGAGCGAACAGACGAGGAGCUUGCUCCUCUGACGUUAGCGGCGGCCGGGUGAGUAACCCGUGGAUAACCUACCUAUAAGACUGGGAUAACUUCGGGAAACCGGAGCUAAUACCGGAUAAUAUAUUGAACCGCAUGGUUCACUAGUGAAAGACGGUUUUGCUGUCACUUAUAGAUGGAUCCGCGCCGCAUUAGCUAGUUGGUAAGGUAAUGGCUUACCAAGGCGACGAUGCGUAGCCGACCUGAGAGGGUGAUCGGCCACACUGGAACUGAGACACGGUCCAGACUCCUACGGGAGGCAGCAGUAGGGAAUCUUCCGCAAUGGGCGAAAGCCUGACGGAGCAACGCCGCGGGAGUGAUGAAGGUCUUCGGAGCGUAAAACUCUGUUAUUAGGGAAGAACAAAUGUGUAAGUAACUAUGCACGUCUUGACGGUACCUAAUCAGAAAGCCACGGCUAACUACGUG